rnacentral:rRNA from 1 species
CAACGUAAGCAACCUGCCCGAAAGACCGGGACAACAGCUCGAAAGGGCUGCUAAUACCGGAUGUGUCCACCUUGCCUCAUGGCUUGGUGAGUAAAUCAUUUAUGGCUUUCGGAGGGGCUUGCGGCCUAUCAGCUAGAUGGCGGUGUAACGGACCACCAUGGCGACGACGGGUAGCUGGUCUGAGAGGAUGGUCAGCCGGACUGGGACUGAGAUACGGCCCAG